AUUAGAAUAGGGUUUAAUCCUUGACCUGUUGAAUGCUGUGGUUUCUACGUUAGGCUAAAUAGUGUUCCUGUGUUUUAUUUAUUUAUUUUUUGGGGUAGGAAGCUGCGAAUGGGAGAGAAGCAAAAGUUUCUAAGGCCCUUCUGAAAUCAAGUAGGAGCUAAGGCUACGUUGUUCCACAAAGCAUAGCAUGGGUCUUCUAAGAAGCUCUGGUACUGCUGUCAUGGUUAUUAAAGGAUAUAACACCAAAACAAAACCAAAUGAACUCUGAAGAUUGUGUACAACCAUAAAACACUCGGGUAUUUUCUGCCUCACCUAAAGGACUCAUUACUAAAAAGUCAGCAUGAUCAAUACAUUACUCUGCAAAUAUUUUCUGAAUCUCUUAUAAAGUUUGACUUCAUAUACCUCCAAAAAUGACUGCACAGCCUGCGUGCACGAGUCUUCCUUCCUGAUAACUCUAGUCAGAGAUUUUCCUUGUGCGCUGUACUUCACUCCAUUUAUCAAACUUUUUGCUCUGCUCCUGCAUUUGCGCUGUAAUCUGUUUGCGACCAGCCACUAUUCUCUAUUUUUAUAGUCAUUCAGGUGCAUUUUCCUUUGAGCUGUUAAGCAGGAGCAAGGAAUAGCUUUCUGUUGUGUAUCAGGCACCUGCCCUCAAUGGGUCCAGACAUCUGAAUAAGAUUCUGCGUAGUACAAGUAGUAUUGUUGCUACUUCUGACAACAUCAAUAAAUAAUAAAAGUUCAACAAACAACCAUAAAACUUCAGUAAACAGUUUCUAUAAAUUUCUUCUGUAGCAAGACUUUUGUCUCUGUUUGCCCAGUACUCACAGGAAGGAUAACCCAACCCAUACUAAUGUGUAAGCAAAUCUGUCUCAAGUGCUUCCAUCUAGAUAAGGUAACCUCUGGUAAAAAAGUGUCAAAAAUAUAAUGUUUGGUGGAACAGGCCUAAUCUUCUCCACUUGCUACUUCAUGUUCUGGAGUGAGUUUGAAGCCUUUCAGAGGAGAGCUGACAGCUUCCUCCAAUGACUACACCAUCAAACCCCAUUUCCCAAAUUCUACUUUCUCUUUCCUCUUAUUGCCCAGUUUGAUGCACAGCAGGAAGGCAAAUCUCUCUCAUUUCCUGGAGGAGCUCUAGUUGUGACCCCGUUUCUGUGUUUCCCUGAAACAUCAAUUGAUUGCAUGAAAUCAUGAUAAUCUGUAUUCCCUCAGUGUCCUCUGUGGUGUUUGAAUAAUUGGGACUAAACUGUGAAAUGCAUUUCUUAUUAGCCCGUUCAUUUUAAUGGAUUCAGUGGUAGAAAAUUAGUGCAAGUUUCUGGUUCUAACCCUGUAAUUUUGAGGAAGCUAGCCAAGCUUUUUUCCAUGGCGUUAGCCACUCAGUGUUUGUCAAGAGGCUGAUUUAAUAUACUGCUUCUGUUCUGAUUUGUUACAUGAGGAAGGUGUCAUGAUAUUAUUGCCCAGUGUACUGUGUUCCCAUGUCUAUAGAAACAUCUGUGUUCUGCAUACAUUUCAGAUUGAAAGAAUAAAGAUUCAGAUGAGAUU
ensembl:lncRNA